rnacentral:rRNA from 1 species
GUGCCAGCAGCAGCGGUAAUACGUAGGGUGCAAGCGUUGUCCGGAAUUAUUGGGCGUAAAGAGCUUGUAGGCGGUUUGUCGCGUCUGCCGUGAAAGCCCAGGGCUUAACCCUGGGUCUGCGGUGGGUACGGGCAGGCUGGAGUGUGGUAGGGGAGACUGGAAUUCCUGGUGUAGCGGUGAAAUGCGCAGAUAUCAGGAGGAACACCGAUGGCGAAGGCAGGUCUCUGGGCCACUACUGACGCUGAGAAGCGAAAGCAUGGGAGCGAACAGGAUUAGAUACCCUGGUAGUCCAUGCCGUAAACGUUGGCGCUAGGUGUGGGCUCAUUCCACGAGUUCCGUGCCGUAGCUAACGCAUUAA